rnacentral:tRNA from 2 species
UCCCUGGUGGCUCAGUGGUAAAGAAUCUGCCUGCCAAUACAGGAGACCCAGGUUUGAUCCCUGGUCUGGGAA